AUAAUACUCCCUCCGUCCGGAAUUACUUGUCAUCAAAAUGGAUGUCUAGAACUAAAAUACAUCUAGAUACAUCCAUUUCAAUGACAAGUAUUUUCGGACGGAGGGAGUAGUAG
rnacentral:pre_miRNA from 1 species